GGGUUAUCUUGCUGCGGGUAUUCUUAUUGGUCCUUACGGUCUGUCUAUCAUCCGUCAUGUUCAUGGGACAAAGGCCAUAGCUGAAUUUGGAGUCGUAUUUUUGUUAUUCAACAUCGGACUUGAGCUUUCUGUGGAAAGACUGAGCUCAAUGAAGAAGUAUGUGUUCGGGUUGGGCUCUGCUCAGGUCUUGGUAACUGCAACA
rnacentral:misc_RNA from 1 species